rnacentral:rRNA from 1 species
UACGUAGGGUGCGAGCGUUAAUCGGAAUUACUGGGCGUAAAGCGCGGGCAGGCGGUUCUGCCAGUCUGAUGUGAAAUCUUCUCGCUCAACGGGGAGCAGCCAUUGGAAACUACAGAACUGGAGUCUGGCAGAGGUAGGCGGAAUUCCGGGUGGAGUGGUGAAAUGCGUAGAGAUCCGGAGGAACACCAGAGGCGAAGGCGGCCUACUGGGCCAGUACUGACGCUGAGCCGCGAAAGCCAGGGGAGCGAACAGG